rnacentral:lncRNA from 1 species
GGCGAAAGCCUUUUUUGGUAAUACCACAUCUUUCAUCAAGGUUCGCUGGCUAUUGACGUCAAUCUUGUAACAGAUAUACGCUGUUUUUCUUUCAAAGGUUACAUUAACAUUUUUGUUUCGUGAGUUUCAAAAAAAAAAAAGUUUCGCCAAUAACACACAUCAGCUCGGUUUGUAAAUAGCGAGUCUGUCGAACCUAGCAAAUUUGUCCGGUUUCGUUGUCGUACAAAAACCUUCAGCACGUCAAAUUACAAGAGGCCGAGAUCGAGCUAAUAACAUGUAGCUUCCGUAUAUCUGUAACAAAUACUAGUAAUUAUUAUUGAUCCCCGAGUUAAAUCGGGCGGCGCGGUCAAUCUCGGCCAUCGUCCCGGGGCUGAGAACGACGCUGUUGGAGGCGCACCACUCCAAGUAGGCCUCCUGCAUGGACAAUGCCGCCGGCGGCGGCGGUGCUGGGGAUGGCUGCCGAUCAUCCCGAGCAGGAGGAGGAGGCGGCGCGCGCGGAGGGGCGGCGCCGGUGAGCCUCUGCACGGUGAGGGCGAAGUCCUGCGGCGGCACCCGGUAGAGGUGGUCCUGGGCGGGAUCCCGCCGUGUCCUGCUCCUUGCCGCCGCCGGCGGCGUAUGUGUCACCGGCGGUCCCUGCCACUGCUGAUUAUUCUCCAUUGCUUGAUCUGGAGACGAGGCUAGCCAAUUCGCUCUGUCGAUUAGCGGUGCGCGCGGUCAAGUGCUGGCGAAGCUUGGUCGUACGUACUACGUAGCAUCCCAACAAGGGUAUAUAUAUGCCGG